GGGGAUAUAGCUCAGUUGGUAGAGUGCUUGCCUAGAUGCACAAGGUCCUGGGUUCAAUCUCUAGUACCACCA
rnacentral:tRNA from 1 species